GAUGAACGCUGGCGGCGUGCCUAAUACAUGCAAGUCGAGCGGAGCGGGCACGGGGGAGUAACACGUGGAUAACCUGCUAUAAGGAUGGGAUAACCUAGGGAAACCGGAGCUAAACCGGCUAAUUAUCGAUGGAUCCGGAGUGCAUUAGCUAGUGGGUAAGGUAACGGCUUACCAAGGCAACGAUGCAUAGCCGACCUUGGAGGGUGAUCGGCCACACUGGAACGGAGACACGGUCCAGACUCCUACGUGAGGCAGCAGUAGGGAAUCUUCAGCAAUGGGCGAAAGCCUGACGGAGCAACGCCGCGUGAGUGAAGAAGGUCUUCGGAUCGUAAAACUCUGUUAUUAGGGAAGCGGUACCUAACCAGAAAGCCACGGCUAACUACGUGCCAGCAGCCGCGGUAAUUC
rnacentral:rRNA from 1 species